AGAGUUUGAUCCUGGCUCAGGAUAAACGCUGGCGGCGUGCCUUAUGCAUGCAAGUCGAACGGUUUCGAUUUAUCGGGAUAGUGGCGAACGGGUGAGUAACGCGUAAGUAACCUGCCCUCAAGUAGGGGAUAACUUUGAGAAAUUGGAGCUAAUACCUUAUGUGGUGAUAGAGUUAAUGCUUCAUCAUUAAAGCCUUAGGGUGCUUGGGGAGGGGCUUGCGUCCGAUUAGCUAGUUGGUAGGGUAAUGGCUUACCAAGGCGAUGAUCGGUAGCUGGUUUGAGAGGACGAUCAGCCACACUGGGAUUGAGAUACGGCCCAGACUCCUACGGGAGGCAGCAGCAAGGAAUAUUGUGCAAUGGGCGAAAGCCUGACACAGCGACGCUGCGUGGGGGAAUAAGGCCUUCGGGUUGUAACCCCUUUUCUCAGGGAGGAAUAAUGACAGUACCUGAGGAAUAAGCCACGGCUAACUACGUGCCAGCAGCCGCGGUAAAGCGUAGAUGGGCGAGCGUUAUCCGGGAUUUAUUGGGCGUAAAGAGGGCGCACGCGGCUUUGCAAGUCACGUGUAAAAUCUCCCAGCUUAAACUGGGAGGGACCAUUUGAUACUGNUAANGCUAGAGACCACCAGGGGGGAGGUAGAAUUCCCGUGCAGUGUGAAAUGCGUAGAUAUCGGGAGGAAUACUAGUGGCGAAGGCGGCUCCUGGGUUGUUACUGACGCUGAUGCCCGUAAGCGUGGGGAGCAAACCAGGAUUAGAUACCCUGGUAGUCACGCCGUAAACUAUGGACACUGGGUAUGGGGAGUAUCGACCCUCUUCGUGCCGAAGCUAACGCGUUAAGUGUCCCGCCUGGGAACUACGGCCGCAAGGCUAAAACUCAAAGGAAUUGACGGGGGCCCGCACAAGCAGCGGAGCGUGUGGUUUAAUUCGAUGCAACGCGAAGAACCUUACCAAGGCUUGACGUGUCGGAAGUAGUAACCCGAAAGGGGAACCACCUGUUAAGUCAGGAGCCGAUACAGGUGCUGCAUGGCUGUCGUCAGCUCGUGCCGUGAGGUGCUCGGUUAAGUCCAGUAACGAGCGCAACCCUCGUUGCCAGUUGUAUUCUCUGGCGAGACUGCCCCACAAAACGGGGAGGAAGGUGGGGAUGACGUCAAGUCAGCACGGCCCUUAUGUCUUGGGCUACACACACGCUACAAUGGGUGGUACAGCAGGUAGCAAUGGAGUGAUUCGGAGCUAAUCCUAUAAAACCAUCCUCAGUUCGGAUUGCAGGCUGAAACUCGCCUGCAUGAAGUCGGAGUUGCUAGUAACCGCAGGUCAGCACACUGCGGUGAAUACGUUCCCGGGCCUUGUACACACCGCCCGUCACGUCAUGAAAGUUGACAACACCUGAAGUCGAUAGGCUAACCCCGGUUUUCGGGGAGGCAGUCGCCGAGGGUGGGGUUGAUGAUUGGGACGAAGUCGUAACAAGGUAACC
rnacentral:rRNA from 1 species